rnacentral:rRNA from 1 species
UCAGGAUGAACGCUAGCGGCAGGCUUAACACAUGCAAGUCGAGGGGUAUAGUUCUUCGGAACUAGAGACCGGCGCACGGGUGCGUAACGCGUAUGCAAUCUACCUUUCACAGAGAGAUAGCCCAGAGAAAUUUGGAUUAAUACCUCAUAGUAUAGCAGUCUCGCAUGAGACCACUAUUAAAGAUUUAUCGGUGAAAGAUGAGCAUGCGUCCCAUUAGCUAGUUGGUAUGGUAACGGCAUACCAAGGCUACGAUGGGUAGGGGUCCUGAGAGGGAGAUCCCCCACACUGGUACUGAGACACGGACCAGACUCCUACGGGAGGCAGCAGUGAGGAAUAUUGGACAAUGGGCGCAAGCCUGAUCCAGCCAUGCCGCGUGCAGGAUGACGGUCCUAUGGAUUGUAAACUGCUUUUAUACAGGAAGAAACCCUGGUUCGAGAACCAGCUUGACGGUACUGUAAGAAUAAGGAUCGGCUAACUCCGUGCCAGCAGCCGCGGUAAUACGGAGGAUCCAAGCGUUAUCCGGAAUCAUUGGGUUUAAAGGGUCCGUAGGCGGUCAGAUAAGUCAGUGGUGAAAGCCCAUCGCUCAACGGUGGAACGGCCAUUGAUACUGUCUGACUUGAAUUAUUAGGAAGUAACUAGAAUAUGUAGUGUAGCGGUGAAAUGCUUAGAGAUUACAUGGAAUACCAAUUGCGAAGGCAGGUUACUACUAAUUGAUUGACGCUGAUGGACGAAAGCGUGGGUAGCGAACAGGAUUAGAUACCCUGGUAGUCCACGCCGUAAACGAUGGAUACUAGCUGUUGGAAGCAAUUUCAGUGGCUAAGCGAAA